AUGGCAAAGUUAAUAAGGGCGCACGGUGGAUGCCUUGGCACUAAGAGCCGAUGAAGGACGUGACUAACGACGAUAUUCUAGGGGGAGCAGUAAGUACGCAUUGAUCCCUAGGUCUCCGAAUGGGGAAACCCAGCUGCUACUAGCAGUUAUUCAUGAGUGAAUACAUAGCUCAUGUAAAGGUAACGCAGAGAACUGAAACAUCUAAGUACCUGCAGGAAGAGAAAGUAAAAACGAUUUCGUAAGUAGCGGCGAGCGAACGCGAAGAAGGGCAAACCAAGAAGCUUGCUUCUUGGGGUUGUAGGACUGCAACGUGGACUUAAGCAUUAUAGUCGAAUAACCUGGGAAGGUUAAUCAAAGAGGGUAAUAAUCCCGUAGACGAAAUAGCGCUUAUACCUAGCAGUAUCCUGAGUAGGGCUGGACACGCGAAAUCCAGUUUGAAUCCGGGAGGACCAUCUCCCAACCCUAAAUACUCCUUAGUGACCGAUAGUGAACCAGUACCGUGAGGGAAAGGUGAAAAGAACCCCGAGAGGGGAGUGAAAUAGCACCUGAAACCGUGUGCCUACAAGAAGUUCGAGCCCGUUAAUGGGUGAGAGCGUGCCUUUUGUAGAAUGAACCGGCGAGUUACG
rnacentral:rRNA from 1 species